rnacentral:rRNA from 1 species
GACGAACGCUGGCGGCGUGCUUAACACAUGCCAGUCGAACGGAAAGGCCCUGCUUUUGUGGGGUGCUCGAGUGGCGAACGGGUGAGUAACACGUGAGUAACCUGCCCUUGACUUUGGGAUAACUUCAGGAAACUGGGGCUAAUACCGGAUAGGAGCUCCUGCUGCAUGGUGGGGGUUGGAAAGCUUCGGCGGUUGGGGAUGGACUCGCGGCUUAUCAGCUUGUUGGUGGGGUAGUGGCUUACCAAGGCUUUGACGGGUAGCCGGCCUGAGAGGGUGACCGGCCACGUUGGGACUGAGAUACGGCACAGACUCCUACGGGAGGCAGCAGUGGGGAAUAUUGCACAAUGGGCGGAAGCCUGAUGCAGCAACGCCGCGUGCGGGAUGACGGCCUUCGGGUUGAAAACCGCUUUCGCCUGUGACGAAGCGUGAGUGACGGUAAUGGGUAAAGAAGCACCGGCUAACUACG